rnacentral:tRNA from 1 species
GGAAUGUGGCUCAAGUGGUAGCGCGCUCGCCUGGCAUGCGUGGGGCACUGGGUUCAAUCCUCAGCACCA